AUUCCAUGGUGAGGACAUUCUUUUAUGUAUCCUUGAAAAUGCUCCCAUGCUUCUGAAAUGGUUUCUGUCUUCUGCUGUUGGAAACUGACAAUAUUCCUCUUAAGGCA
rnacentral:snoRNA from 1 species